UGGGGAAUUUUGGACAAUGGGCGCAAGCCUGAUCCAGCCAUGCCGCGUGCGGGAAGAAGGCCUUCGGGUUGUAAACCGCUUUUGUCAGGGAAGAAAUCUUCUGAGUUAAUACCUCGGGAGGAUGACGGUACCUGAAGAAUAAGCACCGGCUAACUACGUGCCAGCAGCCGCGGUAAUACGUAGGGUGCAAGCGUUAAUCGGAAUUACUGGGCGUAAAGCGUGCGCAGGCGGUUUUGUAAGACAGAGGUGAAAUCCCCGGGCUCAACCUGGGAACUGCCUUUGUGACUGCAAGGCUUGAGUGCGGCAGAGGGGGAUGGAAUUCCGCGUGUAGCAGUGAAAUGCGUAGAUAUGCGGAGGAACACCGAUGGCGAAGGCAAUCCCCUGGGCCUGCACUGACGCUCAUGCACGAAAGCGUGGGGAGCAAAACAGGAUUAGAUACCCUGGUAGUCCACGCCCUAAACGAUGGGUCAACUGGUUGUUGGGAAGGUUCCUUCUCAGUAACGUAGCUAACGCGUGAAGUUGACCGCCUGGGGAGUACGGCCGCAAGGUUGAAACUCAAAUGAAUUGACGGGGU
rnacentral:rRNA from 1 species